rnacentral:rRNA from 1 species
UUUUUAUUGGGGGGAGGGGGGGGAGGGGUUCAAUUUUUUCUUCCCCCCUUUUUGCCUGGGGCUACCCACGUGUUCCAAUGGGGUAAACAAAGGGAAGCAAGCCGCGAGGCGGAGCAAAUCUCAAAAACAACGUCCCAGUUCGGAUUGCAGUCUGCAACUCGCCUGCAUGAAGUUGGAAUCGCUAGUAAUCGCGGAUCAGCAUGCCGCGGUGAAUACGUUCCCGGGCCUUGUACACACCGCCCGUCACACCAUGGGAGUCGGAAACACCCGAAGCCGGUGACCUAACCGCAAGGAGGCAGCCGCCGAAGGCAGAAUUGAUGACUGGAGGAUGUCGACCCACCGUCGCCUUCGGG